GAACGCUAGCGGCAGGCUUAAUACAUGCAAGUCGUGGGGCAGCAGGGCUGUAGCAAUACAGUUGCUGGCGACCGGCAAACGGGUGCGGAACACGUACGCAACCUUCCUUUAAUUGGUGAACAGCCCUCCGAAAGGAGGAUUAAUACACCGUAAUAUUACGAAAAGGCAUCUUUUUGUAAUUAUAGCUCCGGCGAUUAAAGAUGGGCGUGCGACUGAUUAGGUAGUUGGUGAGGUAACGGCUCACCAAGCCUACGAUCAGUAGCUGAUGUGAGAGCAUGAUCAGCCACACGGGCACUGAGACACGGGCCCGACUCCUACGGGAGGCAGCAGUAAGGAAUAUUGGUCAAUGGACGCAAGUCUGAACCAGCCAUGCCGCGUGAAGGAUGAAGGC
rnacentral:rRNA from 1 species